GACGAACGCUGGCGGCGUGCUUAACACAUGCAAGUCGAACGAAAAUACCAAGCUUGCUUGGUUGAUUAGUGGCGAACGGGUGAGUAACACGUGAGUAACCUGCCCCUUACUUUCCUGGAUAACUGCUCGAAAGGGUAGCUAAUACGGGAUAUUCUGUCCAGCCUGCAUGGGUUGGUUUGGAAAGGUUGUUUUUCUGGUAAGGGAUGGGCUCGCGGCCUAUCGGCUUGUUGGUGGGGUGAUGGCCUACCAAGGCUUUGACGGGUAGCCGGCCUGAGGGUGUGGGGGGUGACAGGGGGACUGGGAAAAGGGCGAGUGUGAUACGGGAGGCAGCAGUGGGGAAUGUUGCAGAAGGGGAGAAAGCAUGAUGGAGCGACGCCGGGUGAAGGAAGGCGGCCUUCGGGAUGUAGACCUCUUUGGUGAGAGAACAAGGCACUGGUGUUUUGGUGGGGUUGAGGGUACCUGGAAAAGAAGCGCCGGCUAACUACGUG
rnacentral:rRNA from 1 species